rnacentral:rRNA from 1 species
UCUUCCGCAAUGGACGAAAGUCUGACGGAGCAACGCCGCGUGAGUGAUGAAGUCUUUCGGGUCGUAAAACUCUGUUGUUAGGGGAGAUCAAUUGCUAGUUGAAUAAGCUGGCACCUUGACGGUACCUAACCAGUAAGCCACGGCUAACUACGUUCCAGCAGCCGCGGUAAUACGUAGGUGGCAAGCGUUAUCCGGAAUUAUUGGGCGUAAAGCGCGCGCAGGUGGUUUCUUAAGUCUGAUGUGAAAGCCCACGGUUCAACCGUGGAGGGACAUUGGAAACUGGGAGACUUGAGUGCAGAAGAGGAAAGUGGAAUUCCAUGUGUAGCGGUGAAAUGCGUAGAGAUAUGGAGGAACACCAGUGGCGAAGGCGACUUUCUGGUCUGUAACUGACACUGAGGCGCGAAAGCGUGGGGAGCAAACAGG